rnacentral:rRNA from 1 species
CUACGGGAGGCACCAGUGGGGAAUAUUGCACAAUGGACGAAAGUCUGAUGCAGCAACGCCGCGUGGAGGAUGACACAUUUCGGUGCGUAAACUCCUUUUAUAUAAGAAGAUAAUGACGGUAUUAUAUGAAUAAGCACCGGCUAACUCCGUGCCAGCAGCCGCGGUAAUACGGGGGGUGCAAGCGUUACUCGGAAUCACUGGGCGUAAAGCGCAUGUAGGCGGACUUGUAAGUUGGAAGUGAAAUCCUAUGGCUCAACCAUAGAACUGCUUCCAAAACUGCUUGUCUAGAAUAUGGGAGAGGUAGAUGGAAUUUCUGGUGUAGGGGUAAAAUCCGUAGAGAUCAGAAGGAAUACCGAUUGCGAAGGCGAUCUACUGGAACAUUAUUGACGCUCAGAUGCGAAAGCGUGGGGAGCAAACAGGAUUAGAUACCCUGGUAGUC